rnacentral:rRNA from 1 species
GACGAACGCUGGCGGCGUGCUUAACACAUGCAAGUCGAACGGUAAGGCCCUUCGGGGUACACGAGUGGCGAACGGGUGAGUAACGCGUGAGUAACCUGCCCUUCACUCUGGGAUAACAGUUGGAAACGGCUGCUAAUACCGUAUAUUCAGCUCCUGUCGCAUGGUGGGGGUUGGAAAGUUUUGGUGGUGGAGGAUGGGCUCACGUCCUAUCAGCUUGUUGGUGGGGUGAUGGCCUACCAAGGCGUCGACGGGUAGCCGGCCUGAGAGGGCGACCGGCCACAUUGGGACUGAGAUACGGCCCAAACUCCUACGGGAGGCAGCAGUGGGGAAUAUUGCAGAAUGGGCGGAAGCCUGAUGCAGCAACGCCGCGUGCGGGAUAACGGCCUUCGGGUUGUAAACCGCUUUCAGCAGGGACGAAGAGGAAGUGACGGUACCUGCAGAAGAAGCACCGGCUAACUACGUG